AAACAAACCAGCCCUUGUGAGGCAGGAAGCAGGGGGCCUCUGUGAGGGAGUCGUACCUGGAAGAGAGCGCCCCUCUGACCUUAGACCUCUCUCCAGAGCUUCAGAGCAGAGACCAGAGCCCAGAAAGGAGCAGAUGCUAGAUUUGCAAGAUCAGAAGCAGGUCUUGAUCCUCCUGCCCAGAAUGAACCAGACUUGAUGAUGAUGCCACCUUCAGGAGCCACCACACUGUGUGACAGUGGGGCAUUUGGGCCGUCCCUGGGAAGUACAGAUGCGCUGCUGUCACACAUGUCCACCACCACAUGUGACAUUAGUGACGUUAUCCUGAUGUCACAGGAUCCAAGAAUGAUGAUCUGUGAAGAGUUUUCCAAGGUCACCUACUUCUAACUCUUUUGAAAGAUUUAAAGACAUUGGGCCUGAAAAUUUCAGUGACUUGUCCAGGGAAACGCAGUUUGUGACAGUUCACUCUCUCACAGCUGAACCACAGUCCUCUGUACUCGCCCAGGAGCCACAGAAAGUGAACAUCCCUCAGGUGAGCUCUUUAUUCAUUCCCCA
ensembl:lncRNA